GACGAACGCUGGCGGCGUGCUUAACACAUGCAAGUCGUACGGUAAGGCCCUUUCGGGGGUACACGAGUGGCGAACGGGUGAGUAACACGUGAGUAACCUGCCCACAACUUUGGGAUAACGCUAGGAAACUGGUGCUAAUACUGGAUAUGUGCUCCUGCUGCAUGGUGGGGGUUGGAAAGCUCCGGCGGUUGUGGAUGGACUCGCGGCCUAUCAGCUUGUUGGUGGGGUAGUGGCCUACCAAGGCGGCGACGGGUAGCCGGCCUGAGAGGGUGACCGGCCACAUUGGGACUGAGGUACGGCCCAGACUCCUACGGGAGGCAGCAGUGGGGAAUAUUGAACAAUGGGCGCAAGCCUGAUGCAGAAACGCCGCGUGCGGGAAGACGGUCUUCGGGUUGUAAACCGCUUUCAGCAGGGACGAAGCUUUUUGUGACGGUACCUGCAGAAGAAGCACCGGCUAACUACGUG
rnacentral:rRNA from 1 species